rnacentral:rRNA from 1 species
UACGAAGGGGGCUAGCGUUGUUCGGAAUCACUGGGCGUAAAGGGCGCGCAGGCGGCUGCUCAAGUCAGGCGUGAAAGGCCUGGGCUUAACCCGGGAGUGGCCUUUGAGACUGCGAGGCUUGAGAGUGGGAGAGGAUGGUGGAAUUCCCAGUGUAGAGGUGAAAUUCGUAGAUAUUGGGAAGAACACCGGUUGCGAAGGCGGCCAUCUGGCCCACCACUGACGCUGAAGCGCGAAAGCGUGGGGAGCAACAGG